rnacentral:rRNA from 1 species
UACGUAGGGGGGCAAGCGUUGUCCGGAAUCAUUGGGCGUAAAGCGCGUGUAGGCGGCUCGGUAAGUCCGCUCUGAAAGUCCAGGGCUCAACCCUGGGAUGCGGGUGGAUACUGCCGGGCUCGAGUCCGGAAGAGGCGAGUGGAAUUCCUGGUGUAGCGGUGAAAUGCGCAGAUAUCAGGAGGAACACCAAUUGCGAAGGCAGCUCGCUGGGACGUGACUGACGCUGAGACGCGAAAGCGUGGGGAGCAAACAGG